CUUCUUCCAUUGGCUUUUUAGGGGCAUCCCACUUACUCGAAUUUGCUUAGAGCAUCACCUUCCUUGACUUUGACUAGAGAAUUCCCUUCAUUAAGUUUUUUAAGGGAAUUGUUUAGGGCAUCCCACUUCCUUAAGUUUGUUUAGGGUAUCCCUCAUCCUUCACCUCAUAAUCAGGAUGUCAUCCUAGGUUCUAUCUAAACAUAAUCAAUUGUUCCUGAUAUUGCUCAUC
rnacentral:lncRNA from 1 species